rnacentral:miRNA from 3 species
UGACAACUAUGGAUGAGCUCU